rnacentral:rRNA from 1 species
AGUUUGAUCAUGGCUCAGGACGAACGCUGGCGGCGUGCUUAACACAUGCAAGUCGAACGAUGAACCACUUCGGUGGGGAUUAGUGGCGAACGGGUGAGUAACACGUGGGCAAUCUGCCCUUCACUCUGGGACAAGCCCUGGAAACGGGGUCUAAUACCGGAUACUGACCGGCCUGGGCAUCCAGGCGGGUCGAAAGCUCCGGCGGUGAAGGAUGAGCCCGCGGCCUAUCAGCUUGUUGGUGAGGUAAUGGCUCACCAAGGCGACGACGGGUAGCCGGCCUGAGAGGGCGACCGGCCACACUGGGACUGAGACACGGCCCAGACUCCUACGGGAGGCAGCAGUGGGGAAUAUUGCACAAUGGGCGAAAGCCUGAUGCAGCGACGCCGCGUGAGGGAUGACGGCCUUCGGGUUGUAAACCUCUUUCAGCAG